UCAAGAUGACUGCGCACCAAGGUUUGGU
rnacentral:sRNA from 1 species